rnacentral:rRNA from 1 species
UCAUGGUUAAGUGGGAAACGAAGUGGGAAGGCUUAGACAGCCAGGAUGUUGGCUUAGAAGCAGCCAUCAUUUAAAGAAAGCGUAAUAGCUCACUGGU